rnacentral:snRNA from 1 species
GCGGACUGCUCGAGCUGCUU